UACAGACAUGCACCACCACGCCCAGCUAAAUUUUUUAUUUUUUGUGGAGACAAAGUCUCACCAUGUUGCCCAGGCUGGUCUCGAACUCCCAGGCUCAAGCAAUUUUAAAGUGCUAGGAUUACAGGUGUGAGUAGCUGCACCCAGCCCCAAAUGAAUUAUGCAGUCCAAUAAUCUUAGGGGGUAAUGAUGGAGGGCACCUUGCUUUGUGCACCUGAACCGCCACUGUCAUUGACACCAGAGUGCUUUAGCUCUUCUGCUUAUUACCCUUCCCACUGGUAUUAAUUAGCCAUCAUUCCUCAUUGCCAGUGGGCACUGCUUCCUUUGUCCAAGGGUACAGCAUCAACAGGAGGUCUCACAGGCUAGCACCAGGGAACCCUCACUUUUCUAGCUACCACUGAGGCUCCGCCUCCCUUGUCUCUUGUGGAGUGGCCUGGCUCCGUUCCCAUUUCCCUAUUUGGAUGUGAAUGUCACUUAGCCAGUUUGCCCACAUGAUUUCCCAGAGCCAGGAAGGGAAACGCCUUGGUGCAGAGAUGCAAUCACGGCUACCACCAAGGAAAAGAAGGCACAUCCUUGGCGAUUCUGUCACGUGGUAUCUCUUUCUUCUUUCUUUCUUUUUUUUUUUUGUUGUUGUUGUUCUUGUAGGUUGUUUGGUCUGUUUGGUUUGUUUUUGAGAAGGAGUUUUGCUCUUGUCGCCCAGGCUGGAGUGCAAUGGUGCGAUCUCGGCUCACUGCAACCUCCUUCUCCCGGGUUCUAGUGAUUCUCCUGCCUCAAUCUCCUGAGUAGCUGGGAUUACAGGUGCCUGCCACCACGCCCAGCUAAUUUU
rnacentral:lncRNA from 10 species